CCUACGGGUGGCAGCAGUAGGGAAUUUUCGGCAAUGGGGGGAACCCUGACCGAGCAACGCCGCGUGAACGAAGAAGUUAUUCGUAAUGUAAAGUUCUUUUAACAGGGAAGAAAGAGAAAUUUGACGGUACCUUAAGAAUAAGCUCCGGCUAACUACGUGCCAGCAGCCGCGGUAAUACGUAGGGAUCGAGGGUUAUCCGGAAUUAUUGGGCGGAAAGGGUGCGUAGAUGGCAUAGAAAGUCUUUUGUAAAAAUGCUGGGCUAAACACAAUAGGGCAAAAGAUACUGGAAAGCUAGAGUAUGACAGAGGCAAGUGGAACUACAUGUGUAGCGGUAAAAGGCGUAGAUAUAUGUAAGAACACCAGUGGCGAAGGCGGCUUGCUGGGUCGUUACUGACAUUGAGGCACGAAAGCGUGGGGAGCAAACAGGAUUAGAUACCCGGGUAGUC
rnacentral:rRNA from 1 species